rnacentral:lncRNA from 1 species
CAGAGAUACCCCCCAUUUCCAUCAUGACCUACACAGGGGCUUCCACCAUCCCAGGGAUGCCUGAGGCCCAGAUGAGAACUGAACCCAGCUCAUUUGGGCUGCUUCUUACUACCAUGAAUAAGACUUUACCUUCCUUGGGAGGAGGCCCAAGUACACCUCUUCCAUCCAUGGCAGGGACCACAGAGAGCAGGACUGUCUCUCACAGCAUCUCUGAGCCCACAGACCCUGCCCACACCACUCCAGGACAGCUCACCAGUAACAAGGGGACUCUGGAGCCUCCUUGGACUGAUGGAAUGACCUCCUAUCACUCCCCCAGUAUGAGACAGGAGCUGGACUAUUCCACCACUCUCCCAAUCCCCUCUGCCUCCUUGGGCACCAUGACACUUGUUACCAUGACUGGGGAAGAGAGGACAGAUGCUCCAUCUCUACCUCCAGCCACAAAGGGGACCCUGUAUCCUGAGAAUGGGGAUGGGCUCCUGGCUUCUACUGAAGGCUUCCUCCCCACCACCAGCACAGAGAUCAGUCCAGAUGUGGCCUCCACAUCCACAUUCAUGGCUGAGCCAAGUUCUGCAGGCAGCCCUCAAAUAUCAGAGAGCAGCAAGGAUCCAUAUGGUUCCUUAUAUGCUCCUGAGAUCACAGUUGGCCAAGUCACAAGUCAAACUGGAGGGCCCAGCACUGACUCACCUGUGGAUACCACCUCAGGCCAUAGCUCAGGUGUUUCUACAACUAGUCUAGGAGCAGAGACCUCCUCCCAUCUGGUGACAGUGACCUUGGCUGAAGCGUUCCCUGACGGUGCCCCUGUGUCAAGCAGAGAUGAAGCUCCAAUUAGCCCAUGGUUUUCUACCCCAGCUGAAGCAGCCAGGAGGGUGUUAAGCACAGGGCUGAGUUGGCUCUGGACUCCAACUCCAGCAACCCCUGAAGCCUCCUCAGGGAGCCCCUUAAUGGUGGAUGGCAUAAGUUCAGCUGUCCCAGGUACUGAGGGAACAAAUCUGACUCCCAGUAGCAAAAUCAUGGACAUCUUACCGAUCUCUCCUACUUCUGCGCAACAUUCUG